GGAGGAGGAAGGCAGCGGCAGACAGAGGGAGGUGCUGCUGUGUCCGGCCACCAGGGGGGGCAGCGUGACGGCCAGGCCCAACAGGAAGCACAGACAGACCGCCAGACGGACGGAGAGCGGAGACGAAGAGUGACCUGAGAGGGUUUGUGGCGGCGUGCGGCGGCGGCCAGGCAUCGCUCCAGAGCUGCGACGGUGAGCAGGAAGAGGCCGGUCUGCGACGCAAACACACACAGGAAGCCGCUGAGGCGACACAGGAAGCUGCUCUCCCACCGCGCCCCGUACCUGCCACACACAGACCAACAACUUUUAUUUUGAAAUUUUCUCGCUUUCUUUGUAGUGAGAUGAUUACAGAUGUUUCGAAACUUCUACACAAGCUGCCAAACGUCCAGGCGUCCACCGCCGCCAGCCACCCGCUCCACACUCCCAUCAGGCCGUUCACCAGGGCCAGCAGACCAAUCAGCAGUUUGGGUGGAGUCAGGGAGGCGCCGGGGGAGAAGAAGACUGACAGGACGACCAGGCUGUUGCUGACCAAUGAGAGAGCUGCGAUGAGCCACACCCCCCCACGGAUCAACCAGCUGCCGAGCAGAUGGAGACACGGCCGGAACGGGCCUGCACGAGUUCAACGAUCUUCAGUUAGAGGUCACGUCAUCAGGGCUGCAGUGGACAGAGUGUUGAAGUUUAGGUUCAUCAUCAAACUCCAUCAGAAAGUCCUCCCAGUCCUGAUCUGCUGCAGAGACACAGGAAGGAGACGCAAGUAAAAGACUUUUACUUUGAAAUAUCAUUUCACUCUGAUAUUCCUCUCACUUCAGUAUUUAGCAGAAAAGCAGUUUUGUUGUCACCUUGGCUGGAGAGGACGGAGGUUUCUGCUGCCUCCUCUCUCUCCCAGGAUGCUCCUCCUCCUCCUCCUCCUCCUCCUCCUCCUCCUCCUCCUCUCCUCUCACAGGAGACGAAGGCACAGCACUGGAAGGCGUAAGGAAGCUCCAUCACCCUGAAAAUACACAAAAACAAACAUCUUUCUUAUUUACAGUGUAGAAAUACUAUUACUGCUAAAAGUAUUAAAAUACAGUAAAAGUUGUUAUUACGCAGAAUGUGUUGGAUAUAUUCUAUAAAUAUUAUUAUAAUAAUUAUAAUGCAUGUUAGUGAUGUAAUCUUGCAAGGUACAGCUCAUUUUAACUACUUAAUUCACUGUAAUGUAUAUAAAAAGUGCUCUAUUAAUACAAUGUAUUUAUUAUUAUUAUAAGAUUAUUGCAUGUAAAUACUGUAAAAUAACUACUGCUGGAAAGUAAAAAGUGAAAUAUGAAGUAUUAAGUACCUCAAAAUAGUAAUUAAUUACAGUAAAUGUAUUUAGUUACUUUUCACCGCUGGAUAUUUACCCGCGUUUAAUUUCCAAACACGCUCAAGUGUGUGUGUGUGU